CCUGCAGUCAACGUCCCACGCCGCGUCGCGCCUCGGUACAGUGAGUACUGAGGAUCAAAGUAGAGCCAUUGUAUGCUAGGCAAGCCAUUUGCCACAAGUCACACUCCUGCCCUUCUCUGGGACAUUGGAAGUCACUAAAAUUGGUCCUAAAGACAAACAUUCAAAGAAUUCAUCCAAAAUUCUGGCUGAAGCCAAAUAGCAAGCAUAUACAUAGGAAUAUGGAAUAUAGAACAAUUCUGUGACCAGAAUUGGGGAAAGAAUUAAAUUCACACACCAAAGCACAGUGGAAAAUGUCU